AUGGUGCCGUUGUGUCAUUGUGUGUCAUUGUGUUAUUGUGUCCUUGUGUCAUUGUGUCACUGUGUGCUGGUGUGUGAUUGUGUCAUUGUGUCGUUGUGUCGUUGUGUGCUGGUGUGUUAUUGUGUCGUUGUGUCGUUGUGUCAUUGUGUCGUUGUGUCGUUGUGUGCUGGUGUGUUAUUGUGUCGUUGUGUCGUUGUGUCAUUGUGUCGUUGUGUUGUUGUAUCAUGGUGUCAUUGUGUGUUGGUGUGUUAUUGUGUCCUUGUAUCAUUGUGUCACUGUGUGCUGUUGUGUCAUUGUGUUGCUGUGUUGUUGUGUCAUUGUGUGCUGAUGUGUCAUUGUGUUGUUGUGUCAUGGUGUCGUUGUGUCAUUGUGUGUCAUUGUGUCAUUGUGUGCUGGUGUGUUGUUGUGUCGUGUCAUUGCGUCCUUGUGUCGCUGUGUUAUUGUAUCAUUGUGUCACUGUGUGCUGGUGUGUCGUUGUGUCCUUGUGUCGUUGUGUCGUUGUGUCAUUAUGUGCUGGUGUGUCAUUGUGUCGUUGUGUCAUUCUGGCAUUGUGUCAUUGUGUUAUUGUGUCACUGUAUCAUUGUGCCGUUGUGUCAUUGUGUGCUGGUGUGUUAUUGCGUCACUGUGUUGUGUCACUGUGUCGCUGUAUCGUUGUGUCGUUGUGUCCUCAUGUCGUUGUGUCAUGUGGUUGUGUCCUUGUGUCAUUGUAUCGUUGUGUUCUCAUGUCGUUGUGUCAGUGUGUCACUGUAUCGUUUGCAUCGUUGUGUUGUUGUGUCCUCAUGCCAUUGUGUCAUGUGGUUGUAUCAUUGUGUCAUUGUAUCGUAUUGUUGUGUCAUGUUGUUGUGUCACUGUGUCACUGUAUCGUUUGUAUCGUUGUGUCGUUGUGUCCUCAUGUCGUUGUGUCAGUGUGUCACUGUAUCGUUGUAUCGUUGUGUUGUUGUGUCCUCAUGUCGUUGUGUCAUGUGGUUGUAUCGUUGUGUCAUUGUAUCGUUGUGUUCUCAUGUCGUUGUGUCAGUGUGUCACUAUAUCGUUUGCAUCGUUGUGUUGUUGUGU
rnacentral:lncRNA from 1 species